rnacentral:rRNA from 1 species
GACGAACGCUGGCGGCGUGCUUAACACAUGCAAGUCGAACGGAAACGCCCUGCUUUUUUGGGGUGCUCGAGUGGCGAACGGGUGAUUAACCCGUAAGUAACCUGCCCUUGACUUUGGGAUAACUUCAGGAAACUUGGUCUCAUACCGGAUAGGAGCUCCUGCUGCAGGGUGGGGGUUGGAAAGUUUCGGCGGUUGGGGCUGGACUCGCGUCUUAUCAGCUUGUUGGUGGGGUAGUGGCUUACCAAGGCUUUGACGGGUAGCCGACCUGUGAGGGUGGCCGGCGCCAUUAGGCCUGAGCUACGGCGCAGUCUGGAAUGGUAGGCAAUGGUGGAGAGUAUGAUACAGUGCGCGGGAGCGUAGUGUGGCGGCGCCGCGUGCGGGAAGUGGGCUUUCGCGUAGUGAACCGCUUCUGCCUGAGACGGAGCGUGAGUGACGGUACCGGGAGAAGAAGCACCGGCUAACUACGUG